AAGAAAUCGUGGUCUCUAACAUAGGCCAUGGAUGACGGUACCGGACUAAGAAGCACCGGCUAACUACGUGCCAGCAGCCGCGGUAAUACGUAGGGUGCGAGCGUUAAUCGGAAUUACUGGGCGUAAAGCGUGCGCAGGCGGUUUUGUAAGACAGAUGUGAAAUCCCCGGGCUUAACCUGGGAACUGCGUUUGUGACUGCAAGGCUAGAGUACGGCAGAGGGGGGUGGAAUUCCUGGUGUAGCAGUGAAAUGCGUAGAGAUCAGGAGGAACACCGAUGGCGAAGGCAGCCCCCUGGGCCUGUACUGACGCUCAUGCACGAAAGCGUGGGGAGCAAACAGGAUUAGAUACCCUGGUAGUCCACGCCCUAAACGAUGUCGACUAGUCGUUCGGAGCAGCAAUGCACUGAGUGACGCAGCUAACGCGUGAAGUCGACCGCCUGGGGGAGUACGGCCGCAAGGUUAAAACUCAAAGGAAUUGACGGGG
rnacentral:rRNA from 1 species